AGCGAACGCUGGCGGCAGGCUUAACACAUGCCAGUCGAGCGGGCAUCCUUGUGGUGUCAGCGGCAGACGGGUGAGUAACGCGUGGGAACGUGCCCUUCGGUUCGGAAUAACUCAGGGAAACUUGAGCUAAUACCGGAUACGUGCGAGAGCAGGAAGGUUUAUCUGCCGAAGGAUCGGCCCGCGUCUGAUUAGCUAGUUGGUGAGGUUACGGCUCACCAAGGCGACGAUCAGUAGCUGGUCUGAGAGGAUGAUCCGCCACACUGGGACUGAGACACGGCCCAGACUCCUACGGGAGGCAGCAGUGGGGAAUAUUGGACAAUGGGGGCAACCCUGAUCCAGCCAUGCCGCGUGAGUGAUGACGGCCUUAGGGUUGUAAAGCUCUUUUCUCCGGGACGAUAAUGACGGUACCGGAUGAAUAAGCCCCGGCUAACUUCGUG
rnacentral:rRNA from 1 species